rnacentral:rRNA from 1 species
GUCUGUGAUGCAACUCUCAUUCACCAAGACUUUAGUUUAAGCCAAGUUCCAGACGGUGCCACAAACAUACAUACUUUAACCUUAAACUUUCGAGGAGAAAAGAUUUGGAUGCAACCAGACGGAAAACAACUAUGCACUGCAUUCGACAAGCUAAGAAAGCUGACCAUCCAUGGUAUCUUUAUAAAAUUUGACCUAUUAUGGACAUUAAAUCUCAUCGAAGCUGCUCCAUCUGUCGAGACAUUUGAUGUUGAGCCGGAUACCUCAAUUAACAUGUUUGAACAUCCAUGCCAGGAGGGUGAUGAAGCAAGAAUAAGAUGUUUUGGUGCUCAGAGAGUGGAACCUUCAUGGAAGUUGUCUGGGUUCACAAGCUGUCACAAGUGGCAAUUGAAAGAGUUCUAGUUAGGUGGUUUUAGGCCCCUACUGGAGCAACACUUUUUAUUUGUAAGUAUUGUUAUGGGUCGAGCUCCAGACUUGAAGACAGUUCUUCUCACAGAGGGUCAAUAUCCAUGCAAGGGUUGUGACACAAGAAUCCCAAUACCUCCUCCGGUAGGGGGCUUCUUUCCAACUUUCAGGGAUGCCCAAGAAGCAAUAGCCAAGCAACUUAGAGAGAGGGCCCGGUCCUCGGCACAGAUAAUUUUUCAUAGUGGUUUGACAUACCCCUCGUGGGCAACCCGAUCAUAUAUUUAUUAG